AGCGGCUUUGCAGCUAUUCCUUCCUCUGAUUUCUGCGUCGCACUUAUUAUCCUUCUCUCAAGGCCGACUGAUCACAUUGAUAGCAGAAGCCCCUUGAUAACG
rnacentral:lncRNA from 1 species